UACGAAGGGGGCUAGCGUUGCUCGGAAUUACUGGGCGUAAAGCGCACGUAGGCGGUCUUUUAAGUCGGGGGUGAAAUCCUGGAGCUCAACUCCAGAACUGCCUUCGAUACUGGAAGACUCGAGUCCGGGAGAGGUGAGUGGAACUGCGAGUGUAGAGGUGAAAUUCGUAGAUAUUCGCAGGAACACCAGUGGCGAAGGCGGCUUACUGGUCCAUAACUGACGCUGAGGUGCGAAAGCGUGGGGAGCAAACAGG
rnacentral:rRNA from 1 species